AGGGCUCGACUUCUAGGAAGGUUGCCGAAAGGUGACUGUGCUUUUUAAGAACCUAAAAUCAGGUGCUGCAUGGCUGCCGUCAGCUCGUGCCGUGAGGUGUUCCGUUAAGUCGGGCAACGAGCGCAACCCUUGCUCUGUAUUUAACUUAAUACAGAGGACUGCCGGCGUAUAGUCGGAGGAAGGUGGGGAUGACGUCAAGUCAGCAUGGCCCUUUGAUGCCCUGGGCGACACACGUGCUACAAUGGUCUAUACAAAGGGUAGCUAAGCCGUAAGGUGGAGCUAAUCCCAAAAAAUGGACCCCAGUUCGGAUUGAGGUCUGCAACUCGACCUCAUGAAGCCGGAAUCGCUAGUAACCGUGGGUCAGCAUACCACGGUGAAUAUGUUCCCAGGUCU
rnacentral:rRNA from 1 species